AACGCGAAGAACCUUACCUAGGCUUGACAUGCAUGGGAAAGCCUCGGGAGACAGAGGCCCCUCUUCGGAGCUCAUGCACAGGUGCUGCAUGGCUGUCGUCAGCUCGUGUCGUGAGAUGUUGGGUUAAGUCCCGCAACGAGCGCAACCCUUGCCCUUAGUUACCAGCGGAUAAUGCGGGGGACUCUAGGGGGACUGCGGGUGCCAAACCGGAGGAAGGUGGGGACGACGUCAAAUCAUCAUGGUCCUUACGUCUAGGGGCUCCCCCCGUGCUCCAAUGGCAGGUACAAAGGGUCGCGAAAGAGCAAUCUGGAGCCAAUCCCCAAAGCCUGCCUCAGUUCGGAUUGUCGUCUGCAACUCGACCGCAUGAAGCUGGAAUCGCUAGUAAUCGCGGAUCAGCGACGCCACGGUGAAUACGUUCCCGGGUCUUGUACACACCG
rnacentral:rRNA from 1 species